UAUAUAAGAAGGGAAAAAGCAAGCACCAGAGCACGUUCACAUAUUAAUACGCUGAAAAUUCAAUAAGAGAAUCAUGCAGGACGAAGUCAAGUUUCUUGUAUUAUUCUUAUAUCUUGUUUUGAUGACCGGAUAUUUUGUGAUUCUGGUUGGAGCGGACCCACCAGAUUGCGAUGAUAUGGACCAAAUGCUUUGUAGUCAUGCGGAUAUUCGUCAGAUGUGUAUGAGUACAUGUCAGCUUUAAAUUUCUGGCAUACUAAUGAUGAAAAUUUUGGAUUUAUCAAUUCCAUAAAAUGUGGAGAAUGUAACAAAAAUGGCGAAAUAAAAUGAUUUGCAUUAUAAGUA